UACAGAGGGUGCUAGCGUUGUUCGGAAUCAUUGGGCGUAAAGGGCGUGUAGGCGGUUUGUUAAGUCAUGUGUGAAAUCCCUCGGCUCAACCGGGGAACGACGCAUGAAACUGGGCAAGCUAGAGUACCAAAGAGGGGGGUGGAAUUCCCGGUGUAGCGGUGAAAUGCAUAGAUAUGACCCGGAACACCGAUUGCGAAGGCAGCCCACUAAGCAACGAAUUGACGCUGAGGCACGAAAGCGUGGGGAUCAACGG
rnacentral:rRNA from 1 species